rnacentral:ncRNA from 1 species
UUAAAGUUUAAUUUUAGCUUAAAAGUUUAUUUAAUUUUUUUUUUACAUGUAAAUUUUUGUGGGGUAUUUAAUUGAAUUUUAAUAGUUUUAUUGAUUUUGGUUAUUCGCAGUAUUUAAUUUUAAUAAUUUAAGAAAUUAAGAAUUAUAUAUAAAUUUUUAGUAUUAACAAAUUUUGUGCCAGCAGUUGCGGUUAAACAGAAAAUACAAGUAAAUUUUAUUAGUAAAUAGUUAUAUUAAAAUUAUUAGAGAAUAAAAAUUAUAUUUAUUAGGUGAAAUUUUAAAUAUAAAUUUAGUUUUUUAUAAAGGUUUUGUUAUUAUGAAAUUUAUUUUUAAACUAGGAUUAGAUACCCUAUUAUUUUAAAUGUAAAUUAUAUAUACUAGAGGAGUAUUUGUUAUGUUCUUGAAAUUUAAAAUUUUUGGCGGUAUUUUAGUCUAUUUAGAGGAACCUGUUCUAUAAUUGAUAAUCCACGAUUAAUUAUACUUAGUUUAUAUAAAUUUGUAUAUCGUCGUUAUUAGAAAAUUUUAAAAGGAAUUGAAUUUUUAGGAAUUUUUAUUUUAAAGUAUAUCAGAUCAAGGUGCAGUUUAUAAUUAAGGAAGUAAUGGGUUACAAUAAAUUUAUUUAUAAUGGAUUAAGAUUAAAAUUAAUCUUAUGAAAGUGGAUUUAAUAGUAAUAAAAUUUAGUUUAAUUUUAUGAUUUAAGCUCUAGAAUAUGUACAUAUCGCCCGUCGCUCUUAUAUAAAAUAAGAUAAGUCGUAACAUAGUAGGUGUACUGGAAAGUGUACCUAGAAUGAC